UUUGUUUUCUCUCGAGAGACUGGAAGAAAAAAAAAGAAAGACAGAGACUUGUAUCUAUGUCUGAAAUUUUCACUCGUUUUUUUUUCUUUCCUUUUUAUUGAUAUCAAAGGUGGACUGCAAAUCUGAACUAGUGCAGGUAUACUAUAUGGUUCAGAAAAUUAGGAGACAUGGUGGUCAGGUGGUGACGUUGCCUCACACAACCUUUUUCUCUUCUGCGUCGAAACCAAAUUUUCAGGGAACAGAGUCGUCCAACCAAUCCGCAUCGUAUUUCAGAAAAAAGAGCUUUCAAGUUUACUUUGGUUCGAAGGAUGUUCACAUGGGAUCGGUCCACGUCCAUGAUUCUUUAGACCUUUUUCGGAGCUUUGUAACUUUCUUUAUUCUCUGCACACGAUAAUGACCACUUUUUACUAUUUUCACUCACUCUCAUGGACCCUAUUUUCCCUUUUUAUUACUGUUAGGUCUCAUUUUAGAAGUCUUUCCUUUUCAAAAUUGAA